UCUCAGUGAACAAAUGAGUCUUAGUAAACAAAUGAGUCUCAGUGAAGAAAUGAGUCUCAGUGAACAAAUGAGUCUUAGUGAACAAAUGAGUCUUAGUAAACAAAUGAGUCUCAGUGAGGAAAUGAGUCUCAGUGAACAAAUGCGUCUUAGUGAUGAAAUGAUUCUUAGUGAGGAAAUGAGUCUUAGUGAACAAAUGAGUCUUAGUAAUGAAAUGAGUCUCAGUGAGGAAAUGAGUUUAGUGAGGAAAUGAGUUUAGUGAGGAAAUGAUCUUAGUGAAGAAAUGAGUCUUAGUGAGGAAAUGAUCUUAGUGAGGAAAUGAGUCUUAGUGAACAAAUGAGUCUUAGUGAUGAAAUGAGUCUUAGUGAACAAGCCAAAGUGAUAGCAUUUUGUACAUCAUGGAGACUGAUUA
ensembl:lncRNA